GAGGGUAUCGCUCAGUGGUAGAGCACAUGCUUAGCAUGCACAAGGACCUGGGUUCAGUCCCUGGUACCUCCU
rnacentral:tRNA from 1 species